UUAUGAAAUAACAUUAUAUAUAAUUUUUUUUUUGAUAAACUAUGUUUUCUUUCCUUUUGUAAAUAUAAUUUUCGUUUUGUAUUAUAUGAAUAUUUCCUUUUAUUAUAUAUCUUAUUUAGAAAAAUUUAAAAAGAAAACUAAAACAAAAAAUUUAAUUGGCAUAAAUUAUUAAAUAUUUUAAAUAAUGGAAAUUACAUAUAACAUUGUAAUUCAUUAAGGGUUUUUUUUAAUUAACUAUUGCGACACGUAGGAAAGUGAGAAAUUUUGAUAUAUAUUUAUUUGGUUUUUAGUUUCUUAACGAAUGUGCAUUAUUUAAUAUAUCAUGACAGAGACACUAUGUUUCUGACUGGUUUGGUUCUGUAAACAAUUAUAAUAUGGUGGCAUCAAUAGUAUAGGUCGUUUUGUCUUUUUUACUCUUUUUAAUAUGAUUUAAGAUUAUGGGGAUCUUGUUAAUAUCUCUGUACACAGAACAUAUAAAUGAUGUUGCUGCUGAAGAGGACAAUUCUUAAAGAAGAUAAAAUCUAAUGGUUCCCUAGCAGAUCUUCUUGGAUUCAACUGUCAUGAUAUCUAUAAAAUGUAUAGUUUUUUGGCUAACCUGCAAAGUCUUAACUUGUUAAUUAAACGGUGAUAUUCCAAUAGAUCUAAAAAUACUAUUCAACGAAUUUUGAUAUGAAUUUUUGUGUAGUAUGAAACCGAAGAGCAUUGAAAUUGAAUGUACUUGGAAGUAGUUGGGCAAACAAGAAACAUGUAAGUGUCUGUAUCAUUAAUGAUCUUGAAAACGCACACGCUCGCUUCUCCUUACUGUAAUGUUUAUCUCUCUUCGUUGCUUUAUGGCUCAUAUUGUUGUGAAUUUUUGAUGGGCUCGAAGCGGAAGGAAACUGAUUACUGUCCCUUGGUACUUCGGAAUAGACAAAUGAAGAAUUCUUCUCACUUCCGUUGAGUUACGUUUUGAAUGUCAAAACUUGGCUUAGUCAAAACAAAAAUUUGAGAAUAUUCUUAAUUUCUUCGUUUAUCAAGAUCUUAUAAGCUGAAUAUAAUUCUAAACAUGGAAAGACUAUUGGUAAUAAUGUUCAACAUCCUAACAUCCAUAAAAUCAUAUAAUUUAGAUUAGAGAUAACAAAAAUAAAUAAACCAAAUAUCUCGGUGCAUCAAUCAAUUUUUUAUAAUAAAAUCAUUUUCUCAGUUUAAAAAUGUUCUCUUACUAAUCCACGAUUUCAAAUAGAAGUUAUAUACUAGCUAGUCUUUGGCACGUGUAGAAAGCAUGGUGUUCUUGCUAUUUAAAAUGUUUAGACUGGGGAAAAAAAUAUAAAAGUGAAAGUCCUUAAUACUGUGAUUAGAUAUGAUCUAAAUUCAGUAAUAACUUUUUCAAAAAAAUAAAUCCAGUAAUAAUUACCCUGUUUAUAUCAUAUUAAGUGAUAUUUUAGGGGAAAUAUUUUUAUAAUUCAAAUAUUGUUUUCAGUUCUUAUUUUGAAAUUAAUUUUUAUUUUUAUUUGUGAUUGCUUGAAUUAUUUUUAAACUUUUUUACACAGGUUAUAUAUAUGAACAUAUUUUUUAAAACAAGAAAAUAAUCAAACCAUAACUCGUAAUAUUUAUAUUUGUAUGUUUUGGCAAUAAUUAUCUGCAAAAUAUUUAUGAGUAUGAAAAAAUGUAAUUAAACUGUAAAUUGAUAAAAUCAUAGUCAAAACAAAGAGUUAUGAAUUAGGCGUGAAACAGUUCUUUGGCAUAAGCUCAUCUGGUUUGCACAAGGUGUGCCUAGAUAUGCUUUUAUCACUUGGUUGGCUGUAAAGAACAUGCUUUCUACAGAGUAAAAUGCGAGUGUGGAGGCUAGUGCAAGGCUGCCUUUUAUGUGGAAAAGAGAGGAAACUAGAGACUAUUUGUUUUUUUUACAUGUCCAUACACCUACACUUUAUAGGUGAAUGCAUAUUAUAUGUAUCAAGUACACACUCGUGUGAGUCCCGACAAAUCUUGGAAUGUUGCGAAUGCAUAGGGCCCAAACAUCUAAUCGACGUAGCCAGUAAGGCCGAAAGCCAACGCAGAUGAGAAAACGAAAUGACUAAUUCAUGUAACCCAUACCGUACCUUAAAUACAUGCACGUGUGACACUUUAACCUUUUUGAAAUAAACAUCCAAAAAUAUUUAAUGACAUUUAAAAAACACACGUAUCCUCGCGACGGUAAACCUUGUGAAAAUCCAUAUACGCUAUCGGUUUGUUUAUGAAUCACCUAUAUGCAUACUGCAUUGUCGAUUCUAAGUUUUAGAAGAUCAAAAGCUAAAAAGAAAAGAGGCCUUUUGCGUAUUGUCUUUUAAUAGAUCGCUGGCUGAAAUCCAGUUUGGUCGUUUGAGCUUAUGGCUCUGCUUAAAUUUCUAUGUAAGGAAAUAUGUAUUUUCUCAAAGAAUGUAUUUUAGAAAUUUUAUAUAAAAAAUUAGAACAUCAUUGGUGAAAAGAAACUUGGUAGUUUUCUCAAAAUAGUAAAAUAUCAAUUUUUAUUUAUUUAUUUGGUUAUAAGUUUUUAGACCAUCAGAAUGACGAGUUAUUUAGGUUUUUCAAAUUGUAUUUGUUCUCAAUUUGUUGUUGCCAUCUUUAUUUUCUUAUUUUAAAAGUUUGAAAACGCGUUUAUUUAGGCAGAAAUAGUACACGUAUAUAAAGUCUAAACUGUACAGCAUAGACUGUUAAAUGGUAGGACGACCACACACAUGGUUUGUAAUCACAGGUCUGGCAUUGUUAUUAUUAUUACCUGCUUGGCCUUAGCAAGGAAAGCGACCACAAAAAGCUCGGCUUGUAUAGCAAAUACAAUGAAUGGUAACACAUCAAAGUAAAGGUGAUAAGAGAGUUAAUAAUAGUAGUAAUAGAGUUAACGAUAAUAACAUGCGUUUUAGGUAGUAGUCCCACUAUAUAAAAGAGACUAAUUUUAGAUGUUAUAAAGGAUGCCACAUAGGCAAAAUAUUCUCAGCCAUUCAUUCUGCCACGUCACUGGCAAUCCAAACCAACAAAUCGUAAUUGCAACCUAGCCCAUUAACCGUUUUCGCUUACAAAAUUGCUGUCUCCGUCACUUUGCUGUUGGGCCAGAUAAAAAAAUAAUAAUAACAGGCGGUGAAAAUGGGAAUGGAAGGGAAGCAAAAGAUCUGGCCGUUGAAUAUUAUGGAAGGAGGCCUGUGUCCGUCCAUCAUGAGGUUCUCUGACCGAAAUCAUCACUCUUCCGUACAACUCACGUUAAUUAUUUACCCUCUUAUUAAAAGAAAAGUAAUUUUCUUUUGCAAAAAAGAACAUGGAGUAAUAAACAUCUUCACUAUUUCCAAAACGUCUUCGUUUUCGUCGUAACCGUAACGUCGCAACCAUCAGAUCAUCUUCCCUCGAUUUAGUAUUAAUUUCGUGCAAUCAAUUCACCCCACUUUCUCCUCACCAAUUCAGAAUUUUCACCUCUCCAUCAACCAAAGCGUCUGCAUAUAUAUGGUCUAAAGGCCCUCACGAAGAAUCACAAUCUCUCACGAAUCAUACUCUUGCUCUUAUAGUCUUAUUAAUUGCUCUCUCCACAACGGUGCUUUAGCGGGUUAAACUAGGAUCCCAUGGACAUCAAGUGUGUAGCUAACAUAAUCUGCACCACGCUCAUUCAGCAAAGAACAAUGGUAACUCUGAGCUUUCCUUUUCUGAUUUGAAAUCUGAUCCGAGUGUGGUAGUUGUUGUCAUUUUGCUGUUGUUCAGUCAUGAUGUUGUUAUGCGCCAGAUCCUAAACUACCAAAACAUUUAGAUCCAACCCACCUGAAAUUUCAGUCUGAUGCAAGAACCAAGGAUCGAUAAAGUGGAUAUCCGACCCGAAACAAAGUUCAUCGAUAGAUCCACGGUGGUGAGAGAAAUAGCGCUUAGAACCAGAAAUGGAGCCAUCGAUGUAGGAGUUUCAGAGAAACAGAGACACCAAUCCGAUGAGAGACGAAACCACGUCACUAAUUUGAUGUUGAGAGGCUAGGACAGGAGCAGAGAUCAAUCAAAGAAAACUUGCCAUCGAAGGUAUACAGGUUCUUGCUGGGAGACAAAUAAGCUAAUGUAUUUUUCUGUGCAACGAUUGAGAUGGUGACGCUUGAAGAGAAUGAGAAAAGACGGAUAAGAAGGAAAGAGUUGUUACAAAGAGAGAUAACCACAGAAAGCUUUUCAGUUUCACGGUUUGACCGAGAGGUGUUGGAUCAGAAAACAUGAAUGGAUGAAUCUAGAGUUAUCAUUGUACCAUUAGAGAAGAAGUGGAAGUUAUUAGAGAGAUGUAAAAAAAGUGAGAGAGAAAGAGAGUCAUAAGACAGAAACAGAAGCCUUGAAGAAGUUGUGAAUGGUGAAGGGAUAAGAGCUCUCAGCUGUUCACUCAUUGGCGAAGCGAAGAGUGGACACAGCUGUGCACGCACGUGACAUGUUGCCUCUUUCUCUGAUUUUUGUUAUUAUUCUCCAAGUUUAAAAUUAAUUUCGGUAACAUAUGCAAGUGCUCUUAUUGUAUGUGCUACAAGCAAAAGUUAAAUACUCAGAUACAAUCAACUAAUAAAAUAAUAGCAUAAGAAAAUCCUUACUU